AACCCGAUGAACCUAAAUAUCCGGUAUGAGAAAGUCAUUAUUAUGAGUUUCAUAAAAAGGACAUAACAGUAAAAUUUAUAUUAUUUUAUAAUGUAUUAAUAGUGUGCAUUUUUUGUAAUCUGUUAAUACAAUUUAUAUAUAACAGUAUUAAAAUUCUUUUAUAUAUUAUUUUUAUCAUUAAUUAAUACGUGAACUGCUUAGAGGUUAGUUAUAACGAUGAAUUUCUAGUUAUUUAUUAAUUAAUUGAUGUAAGAUUAAAGAGUCAUGUAUAAGUUUACAUAUAAAUAAAUAUAAUGCUUACAUAAUUUUUUAUGUUUUAUAUAUAAUAUGUACAUGUACAUAUAUGAGUAUUAAACACUAAGUUUUGGCACAAG
rnacentral:rRNA from 1 species